rnacentral:rRNA from 1 species
UACGUAGGGUGCGAGCGUUAAUCGGAAUUACUGGGCGUAAAGCGUGCGCAGGCGGUUCGCCAAGUCAGGUGUGAAAUCCCCGGGCUUAACCUGGGAAUUGCGCUUGAAACUAGCGGGCUUGAGUGUGGCAGAGGGGGGUGGAAUUCCACGUGUAGCAGUGAAAUGCGUAGAGAUGUGGAGGAACACCGAUGGCGAAGGCAAUCCCCUGGGCCUGCACUGACGCUCAUGCACGAAAGCGUGGGGAGCAAACAGG